rnacentral:rRNA from 1 species
UGGGGAAUAUUGCACAAUGGGCGAAAGCCUGAUGCAGCAACGCCGCGUGAGUGAUGAAGGCCUUCGGGUUGUAAAAGCUCUGUCUUUUGGGACGAUAAUGACGGUACCAAAGGAGGAAGCCACGGCUAACUACGUGCCAGCAGCCGCGGUAAUACGUAGGUGGCAAGCGUUGUCCGGAUUUUACUGGGCGUAAAGGAUGCGUAGGCGGAUUUUUCAAGUGAGAUGUGAAAACCCUAAGCUUAACUUGGGGACUGCAUUUCAUACUGGAAAUCUAGAGUGCGGGAGAGGAGAAUGGAAUUCCUAGUGUAGCGGUGAAAUGCGUAGAGAUUAGGAAGAACACCAGUGGCGAAGGCGAUUCUCUGGACCGUAACUGACGCUGAGGCAUGAAAGCGUGGGUAGCAAACAGGAUUAGAUACCCUGGUAGUCCACGCCGUAAACGAUGAGUACUAGGUGUAGGAGGUAUCGACCCCUUCUGUGCCGCAGUUAACACAAUAAGUACUCCGCCUGGGAAGUACGAUCGCAAGAUUAAAAGCUCAAA